CCUCUAGAAAGGGAAGCAUCAUGGCUACUUCUUAACCAUCAGCAUCUUCAUGAUUUCCUGGUUUCUCAGCUUUAAUGGUGACUACUCCUCCAUGACACUGAAGCCCUUCAAAGAUACUUGUAUCAAAACCUGAAAUAGUUGCUUCUGCUAUCUGCCAGCCAAGGUUGUCUGUGCCUAUGUCCAGAGAGCUGAUGUCUGAAAUGAGACCACCGAAGCUACAUUUUCUCACUGCAAGGGACACUGCUACUGUGAUUGUUUCCACCUACUUGUAUCAUUGAGAGACACGAGUCCAGAGUCUUUUGGUGGUCACAACGAUGAAGCUGUAAAAAGAACUAAAUCUUCUGCCACCAGUCAUCUUUGGAAUAUUUUGCUUACGAUAAUUUCCAGCUCAGCAAGCCUUCAUUUGGCAGCACCAAAUGUUUCAUGUUAAUCCAAGAAAGGAACACUCGUUUAAGAAUAGAAACAGAGCCAUGGCUGAAAGGCAACAGAGUUAUCUUGUCCCAUCAUCCUCCAAAUAUUCUGCUCCUCUGUAGUCCUGCUGCAUCUCACCAGCUCGUUGUUGGAUGAGUCCAGUCUGCUGGUCACUCCAGUGUCUCAAGAGCUCACUGCUUCACCUCAGCUGCACCCUAGCUGGACUUCAGAUGCUGGAGGCCUCCUUAGCUGUCAGGCUUCUCAUCCUGGUGAGAGAGAAUCAUCCUGAAGGACUAUACAUCACACACUUGGAAUCAAAAUGUCACUACACUGGCAGCUGGAGAUUUGAAUAAACUAGACUUGGCUAAAGAACCAUGGAAAUAAUAUAAUAGAGAAAACUCUUGAAACAUAUGACUCAUAUUAGACUUUUAUAUAACUGGCUGUCGAAUAGUGAGUCUUAGGACUUUUCUCUGAGAGAGGACAUUUGUCAGGUCACCUCUGGAUACUGUACUUAGAUGAGGGAUAGUGCAAAUAUCUGGGACUUUCUUAGUCCUGUCCUCUGUGCAGCUGCAUUUAAUGGGAGCUUCUGGUUUGUUCAUUUGAUAUUUGCUUGUUCACACAUUCAAGAAGCUUAGAGAGCUAUUCCAAGCCCUCAGGAUGCAGAAAUAAAGGUUUAAUGGUGGAGACUGAUAAGUAAACA
rnacentral:lncRNA from 1 species